ACUUCCUUGGCAGAAUAGUGCGUUAAAUUUAGGGUUUAAAAUAUGUAUAUAAUAUAGGUAGUA
rnacentral:tRNA from 1 species